rnacentral:rRNA from 1 species
CAGCAGCCGCGGGAAUACGAAGGGUGCAAGCGUUACUCGGAAUUACUGGGCGUAAAGCGUGCGCAGGUGGUGGUUUAAGUCCGUUGUGAAAGCCCUGGGCUCAACCUGGGAAUUGCAGUGGAUACUGGGUCACUAGAGUGUGGUAGAGGAUAGUGGAAUUUCCGGUGUAGCAGUGAAAUGCGUAGAGAUCGGAAGGAACAUCUGUGGCGAAGGCGACUAUCUGGGCCAAUACUGACGCUGAGGUACGAAAGCAUGGGGAGCAAACAGGAUUAGAUACCCCGGUAGUCCCUGUCUCUUAUAC